rnacentral:rRNA from 1 species
GUACUGACCGAUGGCCGGAAGGCUGACCCAGCCAUGCCGCGUGCAGGAAGAAGGCGUUAUGCGUUGUAAACUGCUUUUAUACGGGAAGAAAAAGCAACUGCGGUUGAAAUUGCCGGUACCGUAUGAAUAAGCACCGGCUAACUCCGUGCCAGCAGCCGCGGUAAUACGGAGGGUGCGAGCGUUGUCCGGAUUUAUUGGGUUUAAAGGGUGCGUAGGCGGCCUUAUAAGUCAGCGGUGAAAUACCCAGGCUCAACCUGG